rnacentral:rRNA from 1 species
GACGAACGCUGGCGGCGUGCUUAACACAUGCAAGUCGAACGGAAAGGCCCUGCUUGCAGGGUGCUCGAGUGGCGAACGGGUGAGUAACACGUGGGUGAUCUGCCCCUUACUUUGGGAUAAGCCUGGGAAACUGGGUCUAAUACUGGAUAGGACCAUGCUGUAGGUGGUGUGGUGGAAAGAUUAGUUUCGGUAAGGGAUGAGCUCGCGGCCUAUCAGCUUGUUGGUGGGGUAAUGGCCUACCAAGGCGUCGACGGGUAGCCGGCCUGAGAGGGUGGACGGCAACAUUGGGACUGAGAUACGGCCCAGACUCCUACGGGAGGCAGCAGUGGGGAAUAUUGCACAAUGGGCGCAAGCCUGAUGAAGCGACGCCGCGUGGGGGAUGACGGCCUUCGGGUUGUAAACUCCUUUCAGCCAUGACGAAGCCCUUGUGGUGACGGUAGUGGUAGAAGAAGCACCGGCUAACUACGUG